rnacentral:rRNA from 1 species
CUUCGGGCCUGGCGCGGAAAGAUGAGCCGACGUCGGAUUAGCUAGUUGGAGGGGUAAUGGCCCACCAAGGCUACGAUCCGUAGCUGGUCUGAGAGGAUGAUCAGCCACACUGGAACUGAGACACGGUCCAGACUCCUACGGGAGGCAGCAGUGGGGAAUAUUGGACAAUGGGCGCAAGCCUGAUCCAGCCAUGCCGCGUGUGUGAAGAAGGCCUUCGGGUUGUAAAGCACUUUUGUACGGGAAGAAAAGCUCUCGGCUAAUACCCGGGAGUCAUGACGGUACCGUAAGAAUAAGCACCGGCUAACUUCGUGCCAGCAGCCGCGGUAAUACGAAGGGUGCAAGCGUUACUCGGAAUUACUGGGCGUAAAGCGUGCGUAGGUGGUUUGUUAAGUCUGAUGUGAAAGCCCUGGGCUCAACCUGGGAAUUGCAUUGGAUACUGGCAGUCUAGAGUGCGGUAGAGGGUAGCGGAAUUCCCGGUGUAGCAGUGAAAUGCGUAGAUAUCGGGAGGAACAUCCGUGGCGAAGGCGGCUACCUGGACCAGCACUGACACUGAGGCACGAAAGCGUGGGGAGCAAACAGGAUUAGAUACCCUG